CGGCAACAGCUCAAAUUUGAAAUCUGGCCCCAGGCCCGAGUUGUAAUUUGCAGAGGAUGCUUUUGGCGCGGUGCCUUCCGAGUUCCCUGGAACGGGACGCCAUAGAGGGUGAGAGCCCCGUACGGUUGGACACCAAGCCUUUGUAAAGCUCCUUCGAC
rnacentral:rRNA from 1 species